CUCGCCUCUACAGCCGCACCUUCAUUUGCGCUAGCUAGGCUAGCAAUCCUUUCUUCUUUUUAUCCCGCUUUUUCUGUUCCGCAGGACGGGGCAGAAACUGCGUUCCAACAAGGAGCCUUUCUUGAUUGCUAGCAUCAGGAAACAUUCGUCUCAUCGCCACCUAGGUUCAUCGAUCGUGUACGAAAGAGACAAAAGAAAACCAAGCAACCGCUUGGACCCUUCUCAAGAGACACCAAGAAGACGCGGACACAAAGCUUGAAAAUGGUUUGAGAUCCUUGCAUCUGUAUCUACAGCUGCUGGGCGAGAAUUACGCUUUUAGAUCUAGCAGUGAACUUGCUGCUUAACUUGGUUUGCUUAGUACGUCUACUGUAGCUGUUUUGUCUUGUUUGCUGGAUUCGUAUAGAGCUCUCUAGAUAGUAUAUAUAGACAAUACGAACAGCCUAACUUUAAAAGACAACCAUGCAGUCCCUAGAAUUCUCUGCGGUAAGGAUUGAGCAUCCGGGAAUGACAAAAGCGUGACGAGACUGGUCACGAGUCUAUUGGCAGUUUACUACACAGUCACGCAGUACUCUAGUAUUACGUAAGAGAAAAUUUGUUGCUACGUAGCAGGCAAUUCACAGAUGCGAUCUGCACUAUACUAGAGUCCAGGCAAACGCUAAAACUUAGGUUUCAUUGUGAUUUUAAAUUUUACAACGCAGUCUCUUUACUUAACCGUCUAGCCGGCAGCUACAUGUUUCACAUCACCUAACACGUGAGAAACACGUGGUAGAAAUUGUUACGCAUGGCGAUAUCGCAAAAGCACGCUAGAGUCAUAUACGGGAGAUGUAGAGCUGCUAUAGCUGUUCUUUGAUUGGCUGUAGAAUCUGCAUUUGACCGCACCUAGAUCGUUGGCGCGUGCUAGAAUGGAGAACAUGACAGUGAUGGUGAUGACGACGUAGCAGGACCUUCAAGAGCUGACUCCUUUUUCGAUACAAGAGUGCACACAGUACACGAAGAGAGUUCUGAUGACGAUGUCAGCUCAGAUCAACAAAGAAGAAGAACGUCUUCGUCGACCAGAGGUGCUGCAACAACUUCCGGUCGUCGCUCUGAAGCCGGAAGUUCCAGGAGAACGCGAAAACGACGAAGUCCUGCUGGAGAUGAUGAUGGUGAUGAAGAUCGCAAUGGAAAUCAGAAUGAUGGAUGGACAGAGGAGUGGGAAUUGCAGCUUAUGACUGAGUUUACUCUGCAAUCAGAACCCACAGGUGAUUUUAGAGGUGAUGAGAGAGCACUGUAUCCAUAGCAAUAAAGUUGUUGUCAUGGCAAUUAUGUUGCUAAGAUUUUUUGUCAAAGUCAGAUUAUUUUUACUCAAUUUUGGUAAAUUUUUGGAUGUCGUUUAUAGAUCAUACUUGAAAAGUCUACAAUUUAACAAUUUUAGAAAUAAAUUGUGUUUCCAUGGAGAUAA